rnacentral:rRNA from 1 species
CGUCUAUAUACGUAUAGCAUAUCAAUAAGCGGAGGAAAAGAAACUAACAAGGAUUCCCCUAGUAACGGCGAGUGAAGCGGGAAGAGCUCAAAUUUGAAAUCUUCAAGGGUUUCCCUUGACGAAUUGUAGUUUAAAGAAGUGUUUUCUGUUAGAGAGGUGGUAAAAGUUCUUUGGAAUAGGACAUCAUAGAGGGUGAGAAUCCCGUAUUUGAUCACUUUCUACUAACGUUGUGAUACACUUUCAAAGAGUCGGAUUGUUUGGGAAUGCAGUCCAAAAUGGGUGGUAAAUUUCAUCUAAAGCUAAAUAUUGGCGAGAGACCGAUAGCGAACAAGUACCGUGAGGGAAAGAUGAAAAGAACUUUGAAAAGAGAGUUAAACAGUACGUGAAAUUGUCAAAAGGGAAGCGUUUGACACCAGUGUUGUUUUUCCGAAAAUCAAUUAAGAAUGGCCGGAUUUUAAGUUUCAUGACCUUAAAAGCUUGUUUCUUAUUUUUCUUGUCUUUCUUAAUGCACUUUUCGGUUAACAAGUCAACAUCAAUUUCUUUUGUUGUAAAAGGUUAAGAGGAAGGUGGCUUUACUUUCGGGUAAAGUGUUUAUAGCCUUUUAACUCUGCAAUCGGAGAGAUUGAGGUCUGCAGCGUAGAUCCUUCGGGGCUAGAUACGUUUGUGCUAAGUUAUAGCUUUUCAUAGACAACUUGUUGACUAUGUUUAGUCUUGUAGCUUACUCGCAUGCGCUAUUUUACCUACGCUUAGGAUGUUGAUAUGCAUGACUGAUA